rnacentral:rRNA from 2 species
UGCAUAGUGGAUGUCUCGGCUUAGUAUUCGAAGAAGGGCGUGACAAGCUGCGAUAAGCUCCGGGUAGGUGCACGUAACCGUUGAUCCGGAGAUUCCCGAAUGUGACAUCAUGGUUAGGGUAAUGCCUUUCCAUCCCCGUCAGGGGAGGGGAACGCGCUGAAGCGAAGCAUCAUAAUAAGCGCAGGAAAAGAAAGCAAUAGCGAUUCCGUGAGUAGCGGCGAGCGAAAACGGAAGAGGCCAAACCGAAUUCUCCGAUGAAAGUCGGCGGAGAUGUGGAGUGUGGACUCGUGUCGAGCCUCCGUGAAGAAGUUGAACCUUUCUGGAAUGUUAGACCAUAGAGGGUGACAGUCCCGUAAACGUAAAUCACAAGGCUUAUGGCGAGUAUCCCGAGUAGCGCGGGAUGGUUGUUCCGUGUGAAUGUGCCUGGUACCGACAGGCAAGCCUAAAUAUAACCUAAGACCGAUAGCGCAUUAGUACUGUGAAGGAAAGAUGAAAAGCACCCAGGAAUGGUUGUGAAAAGUGCCUGAAACUAUGCAGUGAAGAGUGAAGCAGUCUGAAAGAAAUAAUGCUUAUCGAAGUUCGUACACGUGAGUGUGGUAACGAGAUGAGCGGAUCAGGAUUGCUUCUUUAUUCUCGAAACAUUAGCCAGGGAGCUUAUGUUAGUGGCGAGAUUAAGGGGAUCACCCCCGGAGUCGCAGGGAAACCGAUACAUUCGCAACUUCUUUUGAAGUGAGGAAUGCGGUGUGAAAGCGCCUAUAGUCACUGAUGUAAUGCCCGAAGUCGGACGAUCUAGGCCUGGUCAGGGCGAAGUGCGGGGAAACCCGCAUGGAGGUCCGAUAUCGUUCUGACGUGCAAUUCGUUGAGUUGAACUGGGUCUAGGCGGAAAAGCCAAAUCUAGUCCGAGGAUGGCUGGUUCCCCUCGAAGCUGCUCAAAGGCAGGCCUCAUACGAGAGUGAUUGUGGUGUAGAGCACUAAUUCGCUUGGUACGGGGAGUAAAAUCCUCGCCGGCUUCUUAAACUCCGAAGCUGCAAUCCUUGUAGACUAUGGGAGACGGCUUACCCGCGGUAAGCGUGGGUAGCGAGAGAGAAACAACUCAGACCUCGGUUAAGGUCCCAAAGUGUAGACUAAGUGUUAAACCGAAUGGCGUCAUUUUUCGAAGACAGCAAAAAGGUAGGCUCAGAAACAGCCACCCUACAAUGAGUACGUAACAGUUCAUUUGCUAAGAAAAAUGGCCCAGAAAAUGGACGGGGCUCAAGUCUACCACCGAUACCGGGGGGCAUACUCAGUAAAGAGUAUGAUCCGGUAGAGGGGCGUGGGGCAUGAGAUAAAGUCCGGUUGUGAAAUCGGAUGAAUCGUGCUCCAGUGCAGAUCCUGGCAGUAGUAACAGCUGAGAUACGUGAAAAUCGUAUCCGCCGAAAGGCCAAGGGUUUCUUGGCAAUACGUCGUUAGCCAAGAGUUAGUCGUUCCUAAGGUCAUUCUUAACCGUCUUGACCGAAAGGGAAACAGAUUUAUAUUUCUGUACUUGGAAGUUAGGUAUUCGGCGACGAACGGGGGAUUGGUGACAGAAGUGGAUAGUUCGAGCGGGAUUGUCGGUCCCGUUUAAAUGUAUACCUCUGGGGUGUGCCUUUGCGGCGAGAACCAGACAAAAGCAUGAAUAGCCGCCUUAUUGUGGGCGGUUCGAGACGACUCCAAUUCUCAAUGAAAAGCCAAUCUUCAACGAACUUCUAAGACGUACCCAGAACCGACACAGGUGUGCCCAAGGUGAGAAGCCUCAGGCGUGUGGAAUUACGGGUUGUUAGGGAAAUCGGCAAAAUGGAGCGGAACCUUCGGAAGAACGCUUGCUUGGAGCCUUUGCGAAAGCGGGGGGCUCUAAGUUGCAAUAACUAGUAUCACCCGACUGUUAAAUACAAACAUAGCUUUCUGCAAGACCGAAAGGUUGUGUACAGAAAGUGAAUCCUGCCCAGUGCAAGUCAGUCAAAACCGGGUCCAACCGGAAUAAGCUCUUGUAAACGGCGGGAGUAACUAUAACUCUCUUAAGGUAGCCAAAUGCCUUGUCGUAUAAGUAACGACGUGCAUGAACGGACCAACGCGGUGGUAACUGUCCCAACAUCCUACUCCGUGAACCUACAGGACGGCGAACGGUCCGUCACGCACCGUUGGGAAGAGAAGACCCCAUGGAGUUUUACUGCAGCUUGUUCUUGACAUACUCUGAUACAUGCAGAGUGUAGCUGGGAGCGUCGAUGCUAUGCUUUCGGGUAUAGCGGAGCGACAAUGGAACACCAGCCUUGUAUUGGGGCAUGUCUAACUUGCAAGUCGCUUGCGAGGACAGGUGCAGGUGGGCAGUUUCGGUGGGGCGCCAGAGCUUGGAAAAGAUAUCCAAGCUACCCUAAGGUCAACUCAACCGGGACAGAAAUCCGGUGAAGAGUGGAAAGGCAAAAGUUGGCCUGAUGGGACCCUUGACAGCAAGGGGUCCCGAGACGAAAGUCUGGCUUAACGAUCUUUCAUUAACCUUUGGUAGGUGGUGGAAGUGAUAGAAAAAUUACCCUGGGGGUAACAGAGUUGUCGCAGGCAAGAGUUCAUAUCGACCCUGCGGCUUGCUUCCUCGAUGUCGGCUCUUCCUAUCCUGGCCAUGCAGCAGUGGCCAAGGGUGGGGCUGUACGCCCAUUAAAAGGGAACGUGAGCUGGGUUUAGACCGUCGUGAGACAGGUCGGAUUCUAUCUAACGGUGCUGUUGGGAGUUUGAGAGCAGCGUGCGUCCAGUACGAGAGGAACAACGCGCGGUCGCCUCUGGUGAGGGGUUGUUCGACAGAGCAUGCCCCACAGCUACGCGGCAAAUCAUAAACGCUGAAAGCAUCUAAGCGUGAAGGAUGCCUCGAAACGAGACUCCCAAUCAAGAA